AUAGUCAAUGGCAACCAAAAUGUACUCAUGCCCACUGGAAGACUUGGGCGAGAUCUUCCCAAUAAUAUCAAUACCCCAUACUGAAAAUGGCCAAGGGGAUGCAAGUGCAUGCAACUCAGAAGGUGGCACGUGUAUCAAGUCUCCAUGCAUCUGACACUCCUGACAUCUCUGUACAAACUGGCAACAAUCUGUCUCCAUGGUCAACCAAAAGUAGCCAGUCCUCAU
rnacentral:lncRNA from 1 species